rnacentral:rRNA from 1 species
AACGCGAAGAACCUUACCCAGGCUUGACAUGGAUGGGAAAGCCUCUGGAAACAGGGGCCCCUCUUCGGAGCUCAUUCACAGGUGCUGCAUGGCUGUCGUCAGCUCGUGUCGUGGGAUGUUGGGUUAAGUCCCGCAACGAGCGCAACCCUUGCCCUUAGUUACCAGCGGGUAAAGCCGGGGACUCUAGGGGGACUGCCGGUGCCAAACCGGAGGAAGGUGGGGACGACGUCAAGUCAUCAUGGUCCUUACGUCUGGGGCUACACACGUGCUACAAUGGCCGGUACAAUGGGUUGCGACCUGGCAACAGUGAGCCAAUCCCCAAAGCCGGCCUCAGUUCGGAUUGUCGUCUGCAACUCGACGGCAUGAAGCUGGAAUCGCUAGUAAUCGUGGAUCAGCGACGCCACGGUGAAUACGUUCCCGGGUCUUGUACACACCG